UACGAAGGGGGCUAGCGUUGCUCGGAAUUACUGGGCGUAAAGCGCACGUAGGCGGCUUCUUAAGUCGGUGGUGAAAUCCUGGAGCUCAACUCCAGAACUGCCUUCGAUACUGGGAAGCUCGAGUCCGGGAGAGGUGAGUGGAACUGCGAGUGUAGAGGUGAAAUUCGUAGAUAUUCGCAAGAACACCAGUGGCGAAGGCGGCUCACUGGCCCGGUACUGACGCUGAGGUGCG
rnacentral:rRNA from 1 species